rnacentral:rRNA from 1 species
UACGGGGGGAGCAAGCGUUGUUCGGAUUUACUGGGCGUAAAGGGCGCGUAGGCGGCGCAACAAGUCACUUGUGAAAUCUCCGGGCUUAACCCGGAGCGGCCAAGUGAUACUGUCGUGCUAGAGUGCGGAAGGGGCUACUGGAAUUCUCGGUGUAGCGGUGAAAAGCGUAGAUAUCGAGAGGAACACCUGCGGCGAAGGCGGGUAGCUGGGCCGACACUGACGCUGAGGCGCGAAAGCCAGGGGAGCGAACGGG